rnacentral:rRNA from 1 species
AUUGAACGCUGGCGGCAUGCUUUACACAUGCAAGUCGAGCGGCAGCGCGGGGGGCAACCCUGGCGGCGAGCGGCGAACGGGUGAGGAAUACAUCGGAACGUACCCCGGAGUGGGGGAUAACGCCGCGAAAGCGGCGCUAAUACCGCAUAUGCUCUGAGGAGGAAAGUGGGGGACCGCAAGGCCUCACGCUCUGGGAGCGGCCGAUGUCCGAUUAGCUAGUUGGUGGGGUAAAGGCCCACCAAGGCGACGAUCGGUAGCUGGUCUGAGAGGAUGAUCAGCCACACUGGGACUGAGACACGGCCCAGACUCCUACGGGAGGCAGCAGUGGGAAUUUGGACAAUGGGGGCAACCCUGAUCCAGCCAUGCCGCGUGCGGGAAGAAGGCC